ACUGAAAAAAAUGGAAAUAGGGGGUCUUUGAUUUGACACAAAUUAAUUUAAUAUAUGCAACAUGAUUGUUUUAUAUUCCGCUUGCAAACGUGUUUUAAUUAAGUAGAUUUCAAGAGAUAAUUUUGAAUGCUGGAUGUAGACAUUUUUCUUGUGUUGAUCAAAAGUGAAAGUUUCAAGUUCAGACAUACUCCAGAGCAGCAGGUGGCUGUAAUGUGUCAUUAAAACAAUACGUAGUAGUAGAAGAAGAAGUGUUUGAAGCAUGGUUUGACCGUUAAAGUUUGGAUAUCUAUCAUCAGUGACUGAAGUGGAAGAGAGAAUGGCAGAUCGAAUUAGCCUACUGAAGGAUCAACACGGAAUUUCAGAAGAAUCACAAGUGUCCCACUUCAAUCCAAGUUCCUGUCUCCAAGCAAUGAUUAAGCAAAUUACUGAUUGUGAUAUUGAUGCUGGCCGAGUGUCUCCUGAAGGGACUCUGUAUCUACACGGGGGAAGAUCCUGAAAACUUUGUGCAGGAAUAUGUGGGCAUGGAUGAGGUUGAUGUCAUUGAAGACAACUGUUGGGGUUUAUAUCCUGAGAGAACAUGAGUCAAGUGAACCAGAGGACAUUGGGGUUGUACUCCAAGGAAUAAAGUUUUGACAGAUCUACAUGGCAUACCG